rnacentral:rRNA from 1 species
UUUAUUGAGAGUUUGAUCUUGGCUCAGGACGAACGCUGGCGGCGUGCCUAAUACAUGCAAGUCGAGCGCGGGAAGCAAAUCGAUUCCUUCGGGAUGAGAUUUGUGGAACGAGCGGCGGACGGGUGAGUAACACGUGGGCAACCUACCUGUAAGACUGGGAUAACUCCGGGAAACCGGGGCUAAUACCGGAUAGA